rnacentral:rRNA from 1 species
UGAGUAACGCGUGGGUAACCUGCCUUAUACAGGGGGAUAACAGUCAGAAAUGGCUGCUAAUACCGCAUAAGCGCACAGAGCUGCAUGGCUCAGUGUGAAAAACUCCGGUGGUAUAAGAUGGACCCGCGUUGGAUUAGCUUGUUGGUGGGGUAACGGCCCACCAAGGCGACGAUCCAUAGCCGGCCUGAGAGGGUGAACGGCCACAUUGGGACUGAGACACGGCCCAGACUCCUACGGGAGGCAGCAUG